rnacentral:rRNA from 1 species
UAGAAGUAAUAUUCUGGUCUGUGUCCAUAUGCACCCAAUCUCCUCUGAGCUCAGAAGCUAAGCAGAGUUGGGCCUGGUUAGUACUUGGAGAAAUAAUAUUCCGGCCCUCCAAGUUUCCUUCUGA